CAGCAGCCGCGGUAAUACGGAGGGGGCGAGCGUUAUUCGGAUUUAUUGGGCGUAAAGAGCGCGCAGGCGGCUUGGUAAGUCGGAUGUGAAAUCCCGAGGCUCAACCUCGGGCCUGCAUCCGAUACUGCCCGGCUAGAGGUAGGUAGGGGAGAUCGGAAUUCCUGGUGUAGCGGUGAAAUGCGCAGAUAUCAGGAAGAACACCCGUGGCGAAGGCGGCUCUCUGGGACGGUACUGACGCUGAGACGCGAAAGCGUGGGGAGCGAACAGGAUUAGAUACCCUGGUAGUCCACGCCGUAAACGAUGGGUGCUAGGUGUGGGGGGUGUCGACUCCCUCCGUGCCGCAGCUAACGCAUUAAGCACCCCGCCUGGGGAGUACGGCCGCAAGGCUAAAACUCAAAGGAAUUGACGG
rnacentral:rRNA from 1 species